rnacentral:tRNA from 1 species
AGCGCAGCUUGGUAGCGCACCACUUUGGGGUAGUGGGGGUCGUGGGUUCAAAUCCCGCC